AUUGAACGCUGGCGGCAGGCCUAACACAUGCAAGUCGAGCGGAUGAAGGGAGCUUGCUCCUGGAUUCAGCGGCGGACGGGUGAGUAAUGCCUAGGAAUCUGCCUGGUAGUGGGGGAUAACGUCCGGAAACGGGCGCUAAUACCGCAUACGUCCUGGGGGAGAAAAUGGGGGAUCUUCGGACCUCACGCUAUCAGAUGAGCCUAGGUCGGAUUAGCUAGUUGGUGGGGUAAAGGCCUACCAAGGCGACGAUCCGUAACUGGUCUGAGAGGAUGAUCAGUCACACUGGAACUGAGACACGGUCCAGACUCCUACGGGAGGCAGCAGUGGGGAAUAUUGGACAAUGGGCGAAAGCCUGAUCCAGCCAUGCCGCGUGUGUGAAGAAGGUCUUCGGAUUGUAAAGCACUUUAAGUUGGGAGGAAGGGCAGUAAGUUAAUACCUUGCUGUUUUGACGUUACCAACAGAAUAAGCACCGGCUAACUUCGUG
rnacentral:rRNA from 1 species